GGGCUCGAGGGAACUAACGGUUAUGGGGAUUUAGAACUUCUCCCCUGAGGAGGGCGGCAUGGUCGCCGGUGUCUCCCUCUCCUUCGCCCAGGGGCUUCACCCUUUAGCUGCUGCCCUGAGGGAGUGACGGGCAGGGCCUUCUGUCAGCCGUUCUCCCCAGGGUCGCUCUGCGAGCCUGUGUCACCGAGUGCUAGGGUAAAACUUAUGAAGAUAACAAAUCAUACAAUCAGUCACUCCUGCUUCAUCACGAAAGUAAGGCAAGAAGUUUCUACUUCCUUAAACUCUCCAUCAAAACAUCUAACACAAUCCUAAAUCCUAAUAGCCCUGCCUUACAUCCUAUUGCUGAGAUGCCAUGUGAUUCACUGUGAUUUGUGUUCUCCAUUUCUUCAAUGAGUGAUAAUCACAGCUUGUUCAGCUUGCAGAAAUUCUUGGUGAUUUUUGGCAAAAGUGUGUUAGCAAUUCUUUCUGUGUUCUCUGUACCAUCUAUUUCUAUGGAGUGGAAAACAUGCUGUUAGGUAGAAGAUAGACAUGAGUUGUGGAGCUAGGAAGAGUGGUCCUAGAAAACAGCCCACAACAUCUUCCUGUUUGUACAGCCUAAUAAUCCCAGACUACAAGCUUCAUAUCCAUCACCCAGCAGACAGCCUACACUGCUAUGUAUGAGCAAGCAUCUCCAGGCAACAACUGAUAGCUGUUCUCAACUGUAUCCAACUCAUCCCAAACACAUCCUGUUCUCUGAACAUCCAGUGUAAGGUCGCUCCAUAUAAGGUAACAUGUCUGAGUUCAAAUGCCACCAUUGCAAGGAAUCCUUGCAAGGUAAAAAGUAUGUGCAGAAGGAUGGAGCCAACUACUGCGUGACAUGUUUUGACUCACAUUGUGCCAACAUCUGUCAGGAAUGCCAAAAGCCCAUAGGUGCAGAUUCCAAGGAGGUGUGUUAUAAGGAGCAAUUCUGGCACAACACCUGCUUUCGAUGUUCCAAGUGUUCUCAACCCUUGGCUACUGAGACCUUCGUUGCCUGGGACAAGAAGAUCCUGUGCAACAAGUGUGCCACUCGAGACACCUUCCCCAAGUGCACAGGGUGCCUCAAAGAUAUUGAGGAAGGAGACCAUAAUGUGGAAUACAAAGGUACUAUCUGGCAUAAAAACUGCUUUGUCUGCACCAACUGCAAGGAAAUCAUUGGAACCAAAAAUUUCUUCCCUAAAGAUGAGGGAUUCUACUGUGUGGCUUGUUAUGAUGCCUUGUUUACCAAGUAUUGUAUGAAAUGCAAAAAGCCCAUCACAUCUGGAGGAAUCAGUUACCAGGAUCAGCCCUGGCAUAGUGAGUGCUUUGUAUGUGUUUCCUGCUCUAAGGAACUUAGUGGACAGCGUUUCACUGCUGUGGAUGACCAGUAUUUUUGCGUGGAUUGCUACAAGAACUGUAUAGCCAAGAAGUGUGCUGGGUGCAAGAACCCCAUCACCGGGUUUGGUAAAGGCGCCAAUGUGGUGGCCCAUGAGCAGAAUUCCUGGCAUGACUACUGCUUCAACUGCAAAACCUGUUCUGUAAAUCUAGCCAAUAAGCACUUUGUGUUUCAUGAUGAGCAGGUGUACUGUCCAGACUGUGCCAAAAAUCUGUAACUUGACAAGGGCUCCUAUCCUGUAAAAUAGCAUUUGAACCAUGUUUUUUGCCCUUGCUGUCUCUGUGCUACGCCAACCAUAGGGGAUAAGUGGGCUUUCACCUCUAUGAAGCUGCUCCUCUGUCUUUUCUGAAACUUUAUAGUAUUAUUCAGCUAAGAACACAACAGUGAUUGUAUUAGGAUUCAACAACCUUGCAGCAAAAAAAUAAUUUCUCUGUUGUUGCAAUGGAAAAACAAGUUAGAUUGAUUCUACUACGUAGAUCAGAAAAAUGCUAACCUUAUAGCCACAUGAUGUAAGUGAGAAACAUAGCCAAUAAACCUUCCACCGAGAUGUUCCAGAAAAUAAACAUUUUGAACUUAGCUAU